rnacentral:lncRNA from 12 species
AAAAGCAACAAAUCUUUGUAGGGGUUGGUAAGGGUAGAAGGGAGGGUUUUCCUGGUUUGAUUUAGUGGCUAACUUAAUCUAUACUGUUUGUGAUUAACAGCGUUGGUGGGCUGGUCUUGUGUUAUCUUUAGAAGACACUUUAAUGUUGCGGGGCAAUCACUAUUACAUUUUGGUGAGCUCAAGGUGCCUUGGAC